rnacentral:rRNA from 1 species
AAUCAACGCUGGCGGCGUGCCUCAGACAUGCAAGUCGAACGAUUAAGACUUCCUUCGGGAAGUGCAUAAAGUGGCGCACGGGUGAGUAACACGUAAGUAAUCCACGCUCGAGUGGGGAAUAACGUUCGGAAACGAACGCUAAUACCGCAUAAUGCAGCGGCAUCGCAAGAUGAAAGUUGUUAAAGGAGUAAUUCGCUUGAGGAGGAGCUUGCGGCGGAUUAGCUAGUUGGUAAGGUAACGGCUUACCAAGGCUACGAUCUGUAUCCGGUCUAAGAGGACGGUCGGACACACUGACACUGAAUAACGGGUCAGACUCCUACGGGAGGCAGCAGUCGGGAAUUUUGGGCAAUGGGCGAAAGCCUGACCCAGCAACGCCGCGUGAAGGAUGUAGUAUUUCGGUAUGUAAACUUCGGAAGAAUGGGAAGAAUAAAUGACGGUACCAUUUAUAAGCUCCGGCUAACUACGUGCCAGCCGCCGCCGUAACAC